rnacentral:ncRNA from 2 species
CUCUUAUCAAGAGAGGCGGAGGGACUGGCCCUGUGAAGCCUCAGCAACCAUAAUCGGUAUGGUGCUAAUUCCAGCAGAGUUUUUUAGCUCUGGAAGAUGAGGG